UUUCACUUUCCUUUAUGGACAUUACAAGAAAUCUAUCUACCAAACAUCAGUAAUGCUAGGAGUAGAAUUCUUCAGUCAAUAUUGAGGGAAAAAAAAUACUUGCUUUGAAUGCAACAAAUGUGGCCGAAAAAACAUGCCAUAUAUUUAUGUUCUUAAUCGUAGCGGAAUAUUUGAAAUGUAGUCAUCCUAAUUUCCUAUAGAUUUUUGUAAUCAAACUUGCACUCUGAACAUUUACUGAAUCCUUCAAUUUUUUCUUUGAAUGCUGGAAUAUUUGGAGCUAUGCCUUGCAGUCCAGAAAAUACUAUCUUUUCAGCAUCUUCCCAUGCCUUAGAAAGUACUCUAUCAGCAGAAUAUCAUGCGGUUUAUCACUAAAUAUGGAAAAUUCAAUCCUCCUAAGGUGUUCUACCAAACAUGAUGGCACAGUGUCUAGUGAACGAUAUAGAGCUACAUUCCCUACUAGAGUAGAUGUCCGAGUGCCUAAGUAAGCAUAUCGUUGAAGAAAAAAUUAGUGUUAAAAAAUUUAUCAUUUGCUUGCUAAUCUAGAAAACAAUUAUAGCUCACCGAAUGAAUGAUCGACUCUUUAUGUUGGGAAGCACUUCCAAGGAUGCCCCGAACUAUUCUAGAAUUAGCAACCACCAACUCCAAAAUCAUCAUAUAUUCUAACAUGGAAUUCAAUGGACUUGGGUAUGUAGCCUUCGUGAAAAUAAAAGUGAAUGAGAAAAGUAUAGUAACAUAACUAAUUCUAUUAUUAGAAUAUGAGUUCUCAGCGUUAAAUUUUACAGUAUAGCAUCUUCUGACAAAGAGACUUCACACCAUUGAAGCUAUCAAUAAAAUUGCACACUGCCUCCCGAUCUUGCACAUUCUCUACUGCACUCUGGCAAGAACCUUAAGUUUUUUCAUCAAGCUGAACUCAAGCGACUUACCUAGGUAAUUAAAAAUUUCUAGUUUCAGCGCAUCAAUAGAAAGUCUAGUGUCUGACAUAUUAUCAUAACCAGAUUUGAAAAAAAAAAAAAAACACUUUUUAAGGUUCUGCAUGGUAACAUAAAAAACUUUUAUAUGUCCUAAUAAACCAGACGAGGACAACUCUUCCAGUGAUUUACAGCAUGUGAAGAACCGUCUAAUUGAAUCACCAUCAGGUAGGAUUAAAUCUACAUAGUGGAACACCUUCAGAUUAAGUAAGGAUACAGUUUCGGGGACAUAAAAAACAAUAUGUCCUCUAAGCUUCAGCACCUUAAGUGCUGUCGAUAGUGAUUCAAUGAGACGGUUCUUCACAGGUUGUAAAUCUCUAUAAAAGUUGUCCUUAUCUAGUUCACUGGGAUACAAAAGUUUUUUAUAUUACUAUGCAGAACCUUAAAAAGUUUUUUUUUUCCUUCAAAUUUGGUUAUGAUGAUAUGUCAGACACUAGACUUUCUAUUGAUGCGUCAAAACUAUUAAUUUUUAAUUAUCUAGGU
rnacentral:lncRNA from 1 species